UACGUAGGGGGCAAGCGUUGUCCGGAAUCAUUGGGCGUAAAGCGCGUGUAGGCGGCUUGAUAAGUCCGCUCUGAAAGCCCGGGGCUCAACCCCGGGAGGCGGGUGGAUACUGUCAAGCUCGAGUCCGGAAGAGGCGAGUGGAAUUCCUGGUGUAGCGGUGAAAUGCGCAGAUAUCAGGAGGAACACCAAUGGCGAAGGCAGCUCGCUGGGACGUGACUGACGCUGAGACGCGAAAGCGUGGGGAGCGAACAGG
rnacentral:rRNA from 1 species